rnacentral:rRNA from 1 species
GACGAACGCUGGCGGCGUGCUUAACACAUGCAAGUCGAACGGAAAGGCCCUGCUUUUGUGGGGUGCUCGAGUGGCGAACGGGUGAGUAACACGUGAGUAACCUGCCCUUGACUUUGGGAUAACUUCAGGAAACUGGGGCUAAUACCGGAUAGGAGCUCCUGCUGCAUGGUGUGGGUUGGAAAGUUUCGGCGGUUGGGGAUGGACUCGCGGCUUAUCAGCUUGUUGGUGGGGUAGUGGCUUACCAAGGCUUUGACGGGUAGCCGGCCUGAGAGGGGGACCGGCCACAGUGGGACUGAGAUACGGCCCAGACUCCUACGGGAGGCAGCAGUGGGGAAUAUUGCACAAUGGGCGGAAGCCUGAUGCAGCAACGCCGCGUGCGGGAUGACGGCCUUCGGGUUGUAAACCGCUUUCGCCUGUGACGAAGCGUGAGUGACGGUAAUGGGUAAAGAAGCACCGGCUAACUACGUG